rnacentral:misc_RNA from 1 species
CACAAGGUCGAUUCCUUCAAUAAAUUAAUACGAGUUUUACGCCAAAAAUUGUCAAGGCCCCUUUGACCUAUCUUUCAUCAUAUAAGUACAAGACACUCUUUACAUUCUCAAAUUUAGGGGAAAAAUAACAGAAUAGGCUCAAACUAUUGAAGAGGUAUAAACGAGGGGAAAAUUGACCUGGUCCUUUAUUUUCCAAUCUCUAGUAUAUUAUUACGCCACAAAAAACAAGAAAAUCAUGAGGAAUACAAUCAAUAC